rnacentral:miRNA from 1 species
UCAGACCCAUAUUCUCAUAGGC